UACGUAGGGAGCAAGCGUUGUUCGGGUUUACUGGGCGUAAAGGGCGCGUAGGCGGCAAAUUAAGUCAGCUGUGAAAUCUCCGAGCUUAACUCGGAACGGUCAGCUGAUACUGAUCUGCUAGAGUGCGGAAGGGGCAAUCGGAAUUCUUGGUGUAGCGGUGAAAUGCGUAGAUAUCAAGAGGAACACCUGAGGUGAAGACGGGUUGCUGGGCCGACACUGACGCUGAGUGCGCGAAGGUCAGGGGAGCAAACGGG
rnacentral:rRNA from 1 species